AUCCUUUGUUUCUCUUCCUAGACUGUGAGCUCCACAAACUCUUCUAUUCAUCAGCCUAUCCCCAGAGACCCACAUGUUUCUGGCACAUGGUAGAUACUUAGAAAUAUUUUUGGAAUAAAUGAACGUGAGGGCCGCUUACAGAAAGAGCGCCUACUUGCAAAAAGGAGGACGAUUUUCAUCCGCGAGGGAACGGCCUUUGCAGAACCAAGCAGUGGACCAACAGCGCCACCAAGCGGUCAGUCUGCAUUACCCAAGGCAUCCGUUCCUUUCCAGAAAUCUAGGCGUUGGAGAGCUGUUCCUGGUAUUUAAAGGCGAAUCACAAUCCACUAAGCAUGUUUCUUUAUCGCCUUUAUUUAAAAAAUCCAAAAACUGCCCUCAAACAUCUCUCACCUCCCCCUCCACAGAGUGGGCCGUUUGAAGGCAUGUGGAGGCUUACUAGCUAGGCGGACUUUGGGAGUUGCUAUGGUAACUUUUCCCUUUUUUUGCUAGCUGUUUGGAAACCUUACAUUUUCAAAUCCGCAUGCUUUGAAAGGUCUGCUUGCUUCUACUUUGUUUUGCGAGCUUUGCUUUGAUUUGCCGUAUUUAAUUUGCUUCACUUCCUAAUUUGUUAAAUGACGUGUUAUUAAAAUUCCCCAAGGAGUCAGCACGAAUCUGCGCCCGCUGAGAGACAUUAACCGCCUUCUGGAAGCAUCGGUGAGUCUAAUCUGAGCACUCCUUACAAGGUUGAAAACCCAUUAAUGUAUUACUGCUGAGCUGCUGUGAACAGAAUCCGCUCUGGCCUGGAAGCUGCAGCGGACAACGGACGUCUUUGGGAGAUGCUGGAAAAGCCUGCGUCGUCCCUUCAUUUCCUACACCCACCAGCGCUUCCGUCUCUGCUGCUGCUGGGCCUCCGUGAGAGAAAAGUGACCCUGACUGCCCAUCUCACCAGCUUGUUUUCUCUCAUUAGUCACCCCUUGAAGACAGGAAAACAGAACGUUCUGUGCUCAAUUAGAAUGACGCUGAAAUGCAUCCCAGAGGUCUGUCCAUCACAGAUACGAGACCAACAUGAGCCACAGAACAUGCCAUUAGGCAGUAACGGCCAGGGCCCCCCCUCAGCGUCAGGACUGAGGGAAAUGAGGAUGACUUAGGGAGGCUGCGCAAUGCAGGAGUGCGUCACCGCCAAAGGCAAAUGGAAGUGUUAAGUAAAGAAAAUGCAGGCUACCAGUGGUGCCCAAAAGGCUGCUAAUAUUGACGGAGCUGCAAGAGCUUCUGGGAAGAAGGCGAGGGCAAAAUUUCUUUGCACUGUGAGAAGAAUAGGUCGCAGCACCCUCUUAAUCAUUAUUAAACAGCUUUAGGGUCCUGUCCUUCAAGUAAAAAGGGAGGCAAUUUCUCCCAGCAAAGACAGAGACCGAGGACCCUCUCUGAUAAGUGGUACCUGCUUCCACCCCCUCCUCAUUUUAUUUUUUAAAAUAGUAAAUAUGUGGUAUUUGUUUUACCUGAAUGCAUGGCCCUUAUAAAAGGGGGGAAAUAUCAAAUAACACAGAACUGUAUAUAUAAAAAGUGAAACUUUCCUCCUCUUACCCUUUUCUACUCACCUCUCCACAAGGGGGCCUCUUGGAGCAGUUUGGUGUGUAGUUUUCCGUAUGUAUAUAAAAUUGUGUGUGUGUGUGUGUGUGUGUGUACAAAUACAGUUCAGGUACAAUUUGAACCGUACCUAAAUUGUACAAUUCAGCUUUAGGACUGAAUGGUCUUGUUGUGCUAUUUCUGGAGUGUGGUUUUUAUUGUUGCUUUAAUUUCCAUCCAGUCUGAGUCUCAGGCACGCGCCUCCUUGGUCUACUGCUGCCUUGGCCUGCCUCCUGAAUCCCACUGCCCCAACGCCCUUGCCCUUUUGCCCCUAUUCCUUGCGUGUUGGAUCUGUGUAUCCUGAACACAAUCUGGAUUUUGUCCGCAUAUUUCUGGCACCGUCGGUUUUCUCUAAAAGCCCAGUUCCAAUGCUGACCCUCAUGCUUCCCAGAGUCGUUUCACCCGAGUAAAAUCCAUCCCUUUCCUUUAACUUCAGAGUCACAAGAGCCCCCCAGCAGCUUCCAUGGUUAUCUUUGGGUGUGACCCAAAUUCCCACUGCCUUCCCUAGGGUGUCCAUGUGGACCCCACACCUGCCUGAACUCUCUUCUCACCAACUUUGUCAUUUUGCUGCUUGAACUUCAGGCUGGGCUCUGUCAACACAAGGGUUUCUCAGUUUGGAUAAAGGGAGGGCCUGUCCGUCCCUCACACAAUCUAUCUGGUUGGCAUUUUGCAUGAUGUCAGCCAUUUUGCUCAAGAAUUAAAUCAGGAAAACGUAUGUCAUUAUUGUAAAGCUUGUCAGUAGCUUCACAAGCAAAUCAUUUUGCAUUUUGCUUCUAAGGGAGGUUUUGGUAUCAGAUGGUACUAUGCAUGCUUUGACAUGUAUCCUUUCACAGCCUUUAUUUUUACCUAUAAUUCCUUUCACAUCAAUCGAGAAAGUAUUUAUUCAGGGCAUAACCCUGUGAUUGGCACUGCGAGGGAUAUGAAAAAGCCAUGGGGCCAACUCUUUUAAAAAGGUGUUAAUUGGAUUUUUCCCAUAUAAAACCCCCCAUAGCAUUUUAUUUCCUAACUCUGCUUCUCACGGUCAACUUCAUUUGCCCAUUUAAUGCAAUUUGCUUCUCAUGAUAAGAUUCUAUUAAGUGAUUAUUAAGACAUUCUGAGUACUUCAGCCAAGCUCAUCUAUAAUCAUUAUCGACCUCCUGGGGGUGAUGCAAGGUGUAAUUAGUUAAAGCUCACUGUUGCCUCCCAGCAUCCGGAACUACAAACAGAGAUACUUCCACGCGGCCAGUCUUCGAGCCCUGAGCUUAGUCUGGCAGCUGGACCAGUAGAUCCGUGUGGAAUGCCAGUCAAUGUCGCAUCUGUGGAAAUAGCAUACUAGACAUUGGCUAUCUUUAUUGACAUCAAAUUAUAUCUCUAAGGGUUGGUUUCUAUCGGUUUCUAAACCAUAUUAUGUAAUAGUCCUAAUCCUACUGUUAAUAAAACAAACAAAAGAACCUCCCACUAAAAAUGGAAAUAGGUUGAAAUAAAUCAACCCAGCAUUACCCUUGAACCUCUCAUUCUUUUAAUCUUUCAGAAACACUCAUUGAACUCCUUCUGCAUAGGAAACACUGGAUUGGGAUCCAAGGCUACGAGGUUGAAAAAGAAAGUCAUUGCCUUCAAGGAAUUUAUAAUCAGUAAACUAUACAAAUGGAAGAGUGUGCUGACUUCUGCUCUAAGGGGCGUCGUUUCGCGACCCCGAGGCCCAGGGCCAAAGCAGCCUCGUGUUCUGACGAGGCCUCCAUCACAGGACUCCACGGCAGACCUGCUUCCCGGAGGAGGAGAGCGUCCCUGCCCGAGACACGGACGGUCUCCAAAACCAGUCUCCAUCUAAAAUCAGGGAAUGCUUGUUAGGAUGUGCGAACACCGAAUUUCCUCUUCUCCUCUUUCUUACAAAUUAAAUUUUAUACUUUCAGGUGUUAUUCAUUGGCUGGGGAGAAAGACAAUGAGUUCCAGGAGGCAAACAGCAGGAACAGGGCACAUGUAUAAAUCACCUGGAUCUCUCUCACAUCGGUGCCAGUGGGACAUUUCCCAGGGCAUCCUACAGAUGAGGGCCAACCAUCCCUGGACCAGCCUUAGGGGUCCCUCCAGGGAAGAUGAUAGAGGCAAGAGCCACGGACCGUGAUGCUAUUUUUACGCUACAAGAGAAAUGCCCUUAAGAAAAUGGAAGUAUUCCAAUUUCUCUUAUUUUUUUUUUUUCCUAUUUUUUUCUCCAAGUCUGGGGCAGAAAAUCUUAUCAGGAUGCCAUCUCCACCUGUUCUGCCUUUGCUAAGGGAUUAGCAACCCUUGAAAGGGUCUGGUCUCCAGGCGUGCUGGGGGCGAGAAGAAAAGGGCUCGUCUUGUGACUAUCACAGGUGUGAGGUGGUGGGUUCAGUAACAUGGUAAAAGCCCUGGGUCUCCAGGAGAGGGACAAACAAAGAGGAGAAAACCCUGACUCAUCCCCAUGAAUCUCAGCUGAAGGUAACAAAUUCCACUGCUCGGAGUUUGAGCCAAGACAACGGCAAUCUUCAGCGGAUUUCACGAUCUCCAGGGACAAACGUGUUUUUCGAGUUGGCUUUUAAAAUGCGCAUCUAUGUAUGUUCGUGUCUUUCCUAGCAUCAGUGUGCCCACACAUGGCAAGUCACUCUGGGCACAACAGCAUGAGGUAUGGUGACAUUAAAAAUCACAUAUUGUAAGUAUUUUUAACAGCUUCAAGGAAGUUUGCACGUGCGUGUGCAUGCAUAAGUGUGUACACACACACACACACACACCCCACAUCCCAGCUCAGUGCUGUGACUUCUGCUGCUGCCUCCUAUUCUGCUGUAUGUCAGAUUACAAGGGCACAGAAUCAAAGUUUAUUGCACAAAAAUGGUCGAACUAGUGCCACCAUCCCUGUGUGGAUUCUCUAUGUCUUUCAUUUCAGAACCCCGAUCACAGAAGGGUUAUUGUUAUGACACGUGUUGCUAAACAUUAAUUUUGUGACCCAAAUCACUCCUGGAAACACAGUUUCCACCCACGCUGGGUGCUUUCACUCUAACCAUUUUCAUAAGCAUCUGUGAGAGAGGCUGUAAGUACCCAAACAUCUCUGAGAGAGAAAGUAUGGUGAGGAACCUCCAAAUAGCUUCACUGGCAUGUCUGAGCAUCCUCGCUCCCCCUCCCCCCUUCUCUUUACGCCCCUUCCCUUCACCUUUUUUCCCACACACACGGACUCACGCUUCUCCAGGAGAAUGGACUUGGACCACGUGUGUCAUGAGUGGCAAUCUGGAUGGGCACAUUUCCCCUGUCACAAAACUGUGUCUUCUAUCCAAGCCACUCUCCUCCCUCCCCUCCUUCUCAAAGCCUGUUUCACAGUCAGAAUUCAGCUCAGAGUGAGGAGUCGGCACUGAGCAGAUGGCUGCAGGCAGCACCUUCACGCAACCUGGACACCUACUCCUCGGCAGAAAGAACCCGGGAGCGCCAUAUGUCGGGGCUGCCAACGCUGCCAGCAGAAGGGAAGCUUUGUUCUUUUGCUGGGUUUGUUUUGAAAAGGGAACAUAAAUAACACACCCCCUCUCUCCUACUCCAGCAAUCUGGGCAGAGCUCGCUGGCUGGCCUUGUGGUGGCUCGGAAGGCCAGAAUUGUUCCCUGAACACGGCUGAGUACGAGAGCUGGCCUUGGCCACCAGAUGGAUUAAGUCUGAUUAAUGGCUAAGAGUAAAUAGUACUCCAUUGCUUUUCUCGUAUUUAACCAGUGAAUGAGCUUUUUGCUGAAACAAUCAUGUUUUCCUAUAAAAAUUAAGAUUUUUGUUUUCACACAACCCAAAAAGCUUCUCAAAAAGUCAGUUGGAAAAAUGGAUGUCCCCACCACCUUGGCUGAUGUGGGUGUUGGGGAAAGGGGAGGGCUGAUGUGGCAGUGCAUGCAGAGGGGGUCGGGCAAGGGUCUGAAAGUCUUCAAGGCUUUUGAGACAAGUGUCACAUGAAGGAGCCUACAGGUUCGUUCUGCUGUCAGCCAGUCAGGUUCGCUUCUCUCAUAGAAAUCCUACACGCUUCUCGAAGUUAGUCAUUUCAAGCUGUGAAGUGUCUGAGAGCUCAGAGAAGUCAGCACGGCCUUGCUUAACACCCUGUGCAGCCUAGCAUGCCGGGCACGUCAUAGAUUUUCAAUAAUUUUUGUUGGAUAAAUGAAUGAAUGGUUAAAUGAAUGACUGCUUUUUGAGUUCAAUAAAUUCUUGAUAGCUUAAAAUGUGUUUUGAAAACACAUCAUAUAUGCGUGUGUAUGUGUGUGAUACUUGUUUGGACAUGCAUAUGUAUACAAAAAAGAUUUAAAAUAAUCUAGCCAAGGUAUUACAAAUGUUUAAUGUUUUUUAUUGCUAGCCUCUAAGUUCUAUUUUUCAUGUAUUACUUUUGUUAUUAGAAAAAAGUUAGCUUCAUUUUGAAAAGGAAACAUAACAUGUAACAGUAGAAACAAAAUAACAAAAAUAAACCAAAACAAUAUCAAUCAUCAUCAUUAUAGUAAUUGCAGUUUACAAAGAAACUUUGAGUGGGUGGCGUGUGUCAGACACUGCUCUGAGUAUCUUACACGCAUGAACUUGUGUAAUUCUCAUGACUACACUAUGAAGUAGGAACUAUUGUUAACCCCUUUUAUGGAAAGGAAAUCCGUGAAUGCAAAUGAUUUAUGCUCUUAAACAGUGUGUAUAAUGUAAAGAUAAACAAAUGAACGCAGCAUACAAUUUACAACAAUCUUCCGACAGUAGUGUGUAACUGACAACGAGGCUCUGAGCUACCAGCAGUGUAAUGAAGUUCACCUGAAUGACAGUGUUGCCUCACUGGGUUUGAGAGGAAUAAAUGAGAUAUGGAAAUGUCUGGCACUAUCCCUGGCUUCGAGCUGAGACUUAAGAAAUGAAAGUUCUCCCCUCAACCAUCAGUCAAGUCCCUCCACAGCCUUCUCCAGGAUCGUUCAGGGGUAAAUGAUAAUAUCCCAGACCUGAGCUGCAGGAACCACAAAGAACGACGACGAAAUAACCAGUGUGAGUCUCAAGUAUGGGCCAGCCCUGUGGUAGGUGUCUUAUAACCAACUGUCACCUCCUUCAGAUGGUCUCUCUACUAAGUGCCCCUCCGGUGGCAAUAUGUAUUGACCCCAUUUGCCAAGAUGGUGACAUCAACUGGGACUUAUGCAAACACCAUGACACAAGACGGUGAAGUGCCUUUUGAAGCACUACCACACCCUAAAAGUCAUGCUUCAUGCCAUUGUGGGGUAAAAUGGAUUUUAUUUGAAAAAAAUUGUUUCUUUCAAAGUCAGGAAUCUAUAUAUGCUUGUCAUGUCCAUUAACAACUAUUUGCGAAAGUUCACAGAUUGUGCGCUCAGUGAAUAGGUGAAGUGGCUGUGAGUUUUUGUCAUCCGAAGAGAGGUCAGGAGACUGAGUCAACCCUGACUCUGUGCUCACAAGCUGGGUAAAGCUGGGUUUGGUGCUCCAAUGUAACACAACAGAGUUGGUUGUGUAUAGUUGCUUCUAGUUGUUUCAUGAGUCUGAGCUGACAAAGGCUUUGGAGAUGAAGGCUCAGCAAAGCUUUCCCUGGAGGCAGGGGCAUAUAAGGACUGCAUACCCCAUAGAUUUUAUAAAGCCUGAGCCCUGAAAUGAUGGGGCAGGUCUGCACAUUAUCCAGAAUAUUCUUCUUAGAAGGGGGGAGUGUGAACUGGGUUUUGUGGGAAUGGAGGAGAGAAGAUUUCUCUUCAAGUAGAAGGGGAUUAGAGAAGGGAGUCUGGGAAAGGCUUUCCUGCCUAGAAAAUAACGAGACCUGCCCAGCUGGGGUGGAACAUGCAGUAGGGGUAUAUUUAAUAAAAAGAGAAAUAUCCUACAAUGAAUUAGUUCAACAAAUAUCUGUGGGGUACCUAGUAGGCUGGAAGUAGGCUGGUACUGGGACAACAGGGGGCUUCUCCCUGGUCCUUGUAUUUAGGGAGCUUGCAACCUAGUGGUCCAGCCUAGAGAGGGACAUGUCACUAGAAGCCUCAAAGUCCCUAGACUUUUGGGAACGGAAGCCAUAGGAAGAUUCCCACAAUUCAGGAAGAGGCACCUAGGACAAUUUAAAGGUCGUCAAUCCAGAAAUGAGCAGACCACCAGGCUCAAAAAUGUUGGCAGGGAGGAAAGGAGGUGAAGGGGUUUCAUCCUUUCCUUGAACAUAUUUGAUUCCUUUCUCUGGGCUCCCCGUUGUGCAAACCCUCUUGCAUAAUGCUGACAGAGUUACCUCUGCAAAACAUGGAGAGCCUUGGCUCACUCUUCACAAACCAUCACCAGCUCUCCAUUUGCUGCAGGAAAAUCCCUGUGUGGCGUUCAAGGCCCUUCACAGAAUGACUUCCGCCUGUUUUCCUAGCCUCAUCCCUCACCUCAUCCUAUGGGUCCUGGAAUGUCCCAGAAGUGCACCUUUAUUCCCUUGGCUGUUCAUGCUCUUGCCCCUUCCUGAUGGUCUCUACUCCCUCUUCCACUGAAGAGGCCAACUCAAAUAUUAUCUUUCUUGGGGAGAUUUCCCAUAUUUUACAAAUUCAUUCCAUUUAGCUCAACAAAACAUCUGCUGUAUCCCUUUUCUCCCAAGGCCCGGCACGUUGCUCUAGACAUGUGGGCAUCCUAGUGAGCGAAAUCCUCAGAAUCUGAAGGGAUUUUGAAUGAUGUUGCUAAUGGGUGACUCUAAUUUGCAGACUAGAGUUUUAUCUUGCCUGCCAAAUCCUGUCCUCCAACUAUGCAGAGAAGGAUAUAAAUGCAACAUUUUGGUCUAGCAGGAAAAGUACAGUGAUUGAUUAAUGAUGUCUGCCACUGCCACAGAAAGGGGAUGGCAGCAUGCAUGCCAUUUUUUCAUUCUUUUGAUAGGAGUUUCGAAAGGGCACAUACUAUUUUUGCUGUUGUUAAUAUAAUAUAGUCCUGGUUGUUUAUGAUUUUUUUUGUUAAUAUGAUAAGUCAUUGGUUGGUAAGAGCUGGUUUUUCAGCUGUCUGUUGCCCUUCCAAUUGACUUCAUUCACAUUUGGCCCAUAGGUUCUUGGAGGCUUCCACUAUAUAACAGUUCCUAUCAUCCAUAGCUCUGGCUAAAUAAUGAGAAAAAGAUCUUAAAUACAAAAUGCGGCUGGAUUAAGUACCUUCCAUUGCUAUUUGGAUAUUAACGCAUCAUUAUAAUCUGGAAUCUUAGUUUUCAAUGUUCUGAGCCUCAAAUGCUGCUUAUUGUCUGCGUAGCUAACCCUGCCUAAUGCUGUCUUCUACAUUCAAUUAGUAAUGUGUUUUGGAUGCUUAACAAUGAAGCACAGUCUGAUUUUCAUUCAGCAAUUUGCAGAGUAAAUGCUCUUGCAAAAGACCCAAUAUACCUCUUCCCAUCCUUAUUUGACUGGGUGCCCACAGCGAGGAAAUUUGCACCUGAAGCUGGAGACAGGUCUCCUGUCUUUGUUCAGAUGCACCCUAAUGAGGUUUCUAACCCAACUAGGAUGGUCCGCACAGUGCCCUGUGAUCACAAUCAACUCAGAUGAAACAAGGAACCUCCUGAGUCGAGUCUGAAAGCAGGUCUUAUUCACUCUAGGUAUGUUUUCACUUUCUCCACAGGCUCUGAAAGUGAUUAUCUUCCCAAUCAGAGAACAAUGACUGCAAAGGAACGCAGUCCUUGUAAAGCCUAAGGGUACACGGGUUGCUCUAACCAGAAACACAUCUCACAAUGCAGAGAGGCCACCUGGGAUGCUCCACUGCCAAGGGAUGGGCGGACAUCGGAACCAGAACAGAGAGCCAGGAUGCCAGCACUCCACUGGAGGGGACGCGGCUGCCAUUUGAACUAAUGCUUUUGAAAAUCUCCUGCUGGGGAGAAACGGGCAAGUGCUAAUGGAUGUAAUGAACCAAGACUCUCAGGGAAGCCAGAGAGAGAGCAGUGCCAUCAGCUGAAUCACUGAAAACUUGAGCAAGAAAAACACUUUGGAAAAGAAACCCAGUGGAGCAAUUCAGUGCGGCCGAGGAAAGGGGCUGAACAUUCAGUGUGGCCCCUGAAAUGAAGGGCUAGUUGUCAGCCCUUUAGUUCUGGAAGGAGGUAUUUGGUGUCUUUCUAGCACAGAGACCUGAGGUGGGUGAUUGGCUCCAAACAGGAGUUUCCCACCCACUUUGGGAACGUGCCUGGGGUUUGGACAGCAGUUCACAAAUGUGGAUGCAUGGAGACAGAGCAUGGAGAGCAAAGGGCAGCCAGGGCUGUGUCCUCACACAGACCCCUACCCCUUCCCUGCCUGUGUCCAUGUCACCUUGCCUAUCUCAUCUUGUCUGUGGGCAUUCAACUGGCACCUGCUGCCACUUUUGCUCCUGGGUUAGUUUCCUAUUGCUGCUGCAACAAACUAACACAAACUGAACAGCUUUAAAAAAACCCCACAAUUAUUCUCUUACAGUUCUGGAGGUCAGAAGUCUAAAAUGGACCUCCCUUCUAGAGGCUGGAGGCUCAAAGGAAGAAUCCACCUCUUCAUCUUUUUCAGCUCCUGGAAGCUGCCUCCAUUCCUUGGCUCAUGGCCCCUUCCUCCACCUUCUAAUUCAGAGCAUCGUCGAAUCUUUCUUUGACUCUCCUGCCUCUCUUUUUCCCCUAUAAGGACCCUGGCGAUUAUGUUGGGCCUGCCUGAACAAUCCAGGAUAAUUUCCGCAUCUUAAGAUCCUAAUGUCAUCACAUCUGCCAAGUCCUUCUAUCGUAUAAGGUAACAUAUUCACAGGUUCCUGGGGUUAGGACUGGACAUCUUUGGGGAGCCAUUAUUCUGCCUACCACAUCCCCCUACAGUCUACUCUCAGCAGCCAGAGAGGCCGAAGUGCCGGGCAGUCCCAGGAGCUGCCCCUCGGCAGCCAGGGUGAAGGUGAGCCACAUGGGCCCAGGGGACGGCAUGGCUGGCAUUCUUCACCAGUUGGAUGGUACAGGAAACACUUCUUGAGUCUCUUCAGCCACCAGUCCUGGCAUACCCUCUUGGAAAUUAAAAUGUGUUUUCCAAUGAAAGCAGUGUGAAAAAUCACGGAGAGAAAUCACUGAAAUUGUACUAUGCUCAAUGGGCAUUGCAUGUUAAACAUGUUUGCUGGGCGGCCGAGACCUGCCCUUCACCUUAAACUUCAUUUCUGUGGCACAUAUGCUGCUGAACAGCAGACAUUCAAUUAGCCACUCCUAAUGCGUGAUGGUUUUCCAGCUACUGUGCUGAACCUACUAUUUUGCCACGUUACCUAGUCCACACAUAUCCCUCUCUAUUGCUCUCUUAAAUUGCUCCUUUCCUAAGAGUUCUGUUAUUUCAGUGGUAGCUUCAGGUCCCUCACUAUGUUGGGGAGACACUGCCCGUGGCUCUUGUCUUAUAGAAAGAAUUUACAACAUUGGACCUCAACAUCAGGUUAAUGGGAAGAGCAGGGAAAUACAACUAAAGGGCAGGUUGUUAAAGCCGAGGCAGCCCUCUACAGCACAUGAGGGGAGGAUCCAGUUGUGAAUCUGGGCUCAAGAUCAGACCUUCCUGAGUUUUAAUCCGAAUUCUGCCACUUCCAACUGUGUGACUUGGGCAAGUGUAAGUAUGACCUCCCCGUGUCUCAGCUUCCUUGUCUGUAAGAGGGAGAUAACAAAAGCUCACGCCCAACCUUGUCUUCUUUGGCUGCCUCACACUAGAAGUGCUUUCCCAUUCUCCUUUGCAGCAGAGACGACACAGUUCUGGCCAAUGGGCUAAAAGUGGACGUCUGCCAGGGAAGAUAUGGGAGGAGAUUCUUUUUUCUCUUACUUUCCUCUCUUUCUGCUUUGGGUGCUGUCAUGUGAGAAGGUGAUGUUUGGAGCUGCCAUCACCAUGACACCAGGAAGGGAAGGCCAGGAGGAUGUAGAGAUGCUCACCCAUGGCCCUGACAUCAUUGGGCUGCUGAACCACCCUGGAACUGCUCACCUCUCUGCUGGGUGAGAUGAGUAAAUGACUCCAUGGUUUAGGCCACUGUCAGCUGAGUAUUGGGAUUCUUGUGACUUAAAGCAUUCUAACCAAUACAAAUUUCUGUCUCAGGGGGAUCAUUUUAAAGAUUAACUGAGAUAGCGCAUGUCAAGUGCCUGGCACAAAGCUAGCUGUCAUUCCAUGAAUGGUAGUCAUAAUUAUUAUUAUUCAUACCUGGGGAAAAUAAGGAUGUACUAUUAUUUGCUUUUUAACUUCUACUUUACAAUAUCACUAACUCACCAUUUACGCUUGUGCAGGGAAAUGAAGUGAGGUCUCACAGGCUCAACCAGAUUUGAGGAGGAGUUUAUAUCCUGAUUUGGCCUCCUGGAACAGGAGCUCCUGAAGGCCAGGGGCUGUGUCUCAUUCAUCAGUGAGCUCCAUGCCUGGCACAUAGGAUGCCCUGAGUGGAUGUUCUUGGGUGGGUGGAUGGAUGGAUGGACAAGUGAACUAACCCAAGAGCCUUUGCAGAAUCCCCUCUUAUCCAGCAUCCGGCCUGGCAGCCUCUCGUUCCGUAUAACAUACAAAAAAAUGAAAAUCAAAGUCAGACUUUUAUGGGAAUCUGGCACUUCUGAUCUUAAAACCCUGACUGAGGAUGUGUCAUAGUCUAUGCAGGGAGGUUUCCCCUGGGCAAAGAAGGCCAUUGAGCGUUCUCCCAGCCCAGCAUGAGCCAACCUGUCUGCUGCUUUGCUGAAACAUCUAAAUAUGCUGUAAGGCCUUUAUAUAAUGUGACUUUUUUUUUCCCAAGAAGAAAGAGAUGACUUGCACAGAAGAAUUCUAAGAAAAUUACUUGCUGCAAAGAAAAAAUGAUGAUGAUUUUAUUAUACCAUCAGGACCGAAAAAAAAUUGCUCACAAUAACCAACUUCUGUUGGGCUUUCUGCUAGACAAGACAAUCUGAUGUCUGAGCGGCUGUAGGGAUUCUCUCAUUUGCUAAAUUUGGGAAUAGAUGUUGAAGCAAGUGUUGGACAAUGCAAGAUCCUCACACCAUGCUUUUGAUCAGUUAGCCCAGGCAAUAUCACUUGUUCUUCUCCUGUACAUCCUGAAACCCCUCAUCUAUGCAAACGAAUCAGGAUGUGUGUGUGUGUGUGUGUGUGUGUGUGCAUGUAUGUGUCUGUUUUCAGUCCAUUCUUACCUGCAAAAUUUUUCCUUACGCAUUGAAAUUUUACAGGUCAAGACCACCAAAGGGAUUCCUUCUCACUGUCACACUGAGAUGGUCAGCAUCAGUCAUAAUUUACUCUAUCUCGCGUCUUUCCACACUCCCGUAUCAGUUAGGAAUUUCGAUUGGCUGCUAAUAACAGCCUGGGAUUAACCUGUGAAGAAAAUGUAGUUUGGAGGUGCAUAGUUGAGGCCUGGUUUGAGGGUUCUGCAGUGUCAUCAGGAACUAGGGUUCUUUGCUCUCUGUUUUAACAUGCGGUUUCCACCUCAAGGCUGCCUCAUAUUUCAAAUAUGGUCACAAUAACUUCAGCCAUUAAGCCUGCCUUCCAGAUAGGAAGCAGAAGGAAGAGAAAAAGAGUACAUCUGAAGUAUUUUUCCCCUUUAAGGAGCCUUCCUGGAAGUUCUGCCUAACAGCGUCCGUUUAUAUUUCAUUGGCCAGAAGUUAGUCCUAUGGGCAUAACUGGCUGCCAGGGAAGCUGGGAAAUGUUGCUUUUUGGCUGGGUACGUUGCCACCAUGCAUGCAGCUCGAGCUCUUUCCUGAGGAAGGAGGGGAGGCUGGGUAUUGAAGGGGAGCAAUGAGUACAUGCCUUACGCCAUCUUUACUCUCCUUGCCCCUCUCUCACCCCCGGGGUCCAUCUAUGUUCUGACCUCUGAUCUGUUUGGGUUUUAAUUCUCCCUUAAAUCAGUGUUUAGCUUUUAAUGUUGAUUAUCUGUUCUCUGUAUGGAGGGGCCAUUUGGGGAGUUGUUAGUGAUGUCCUUCAAUGAGAACAGACUGAGAAGCUCCACCCAGGUAGGCUGCAACUCACUUUAAACAGGAGCCUAAUGCCUCCAGGGUAACCCGCCAUUAAUUUGCCAACACCACCAAAGACACAGGUAUAGAAAGAGGCAAACAAUCUGUUAAUUGAGCCUUUACUAUGUGUCAUUUAAUCCUUCCAACCAACAUCCCUAAGAGGUAAGUGUCAUUAUUAAUCCUCAUUUCAUAGAUGAGGCAACCAAGGAUCAGAGAGGUUAGGUUACCCUCUGUGGGUGAGGUUUAAACCCCGGUGCUUUUCCUAUUACACUGUAUGUUUUAGUAAGUUCUUGGCUGUCUCCUGAAAAUGAAAUAGGCCCAAAGGGGAGCCCACAGGUGUGGGAGUCUGCCCAGAACACACCAGCCCCAGCCUGGUGGGCGUCACUGAUUUCAGAGGCUGCUCUUGGCCCUUCGCCAGUCUGUACGAUGGAAGCAGGAGGGGCGUGGAAAGGUUCCCCAUCCGUCUGGUCCACAACCUCAGUCCUGCCUCGCUUCUUUCCCAUCGUGGCACAUGUGAGAAAUGAUAAUAUUUGCACAGCAUGGGGGUAACAGAGGCUGAUCCAGGCCCCCUCUUGCCAGAAGCAAAGGGGUCUACAGCUGUUGCUGUCCCCUCUGCCAGGAACACCAAUGUCCUUUCUCUGUUCCAGGUUCCAGUCCAGGAUCCUAUGUUCCAUUUAGUUGUCCUGUCUCUUUAAUCUCCUCCAACAUGUGAGAGCACCUCGUUAUUUCCUAGCCUUUCAUGAUCUUGACACUUUCAGAGAGUACUGGUCAGUUAUUUUUGUAGAGUAUUUCUCAGAUUGGGUUCGUUUGAUGUUUUCUGAUGAUUAGACUGAGGUGAGGCAUUUUUAUAAAGAAUGCCACGGAAGUGAUGUGUCUUUCUCAGUCCAUCACAUCUGGAGGUAUGUGAUGCCAGUGUGUCUUGUUACUGGUAAUGUUGACCACGACCAUUUGGUUACGGUGGAGUCUGCUGGGUUUUCUCACUGUAAAUUAUUAUUUUCCCCUGUGUAAUUAAUAAGUUUCUUGGGGGAGAUACUUUGAGACUAUUCAAACAACCUGUUCCCUUCAAACUUCUGCCCACUAAUUUUAGCAUCCCUCUGUGGAUCUUGCCUGUGAGAUUCUAAAGGGGAUCUUUAUAUGUCCCUCAUAUAAACUGUAAUUCUUCUUUAAAGGAGAUUUCUCCCAUCUCCCCUACUUAUAUAUUUAUCCAACUAUUUAUUUAUAUCCAUAUUGACUCAGGGAUAUUUAUUUUAUUCUAUGAAUUAUAAUCCAAUGCUUUCAUUUAUUUUGCUGUUCCAGUUUUUCCAGCUCUGGCCACUGGGAGCUCUUUCGGGUUAGCUCCUAUGCCCUAUUGACAUGCCAUUGUCUUUGAGGGGUACUUCCUUAAUUUCUGGCACCACCAAAAUGCCCCAGAUUUAUCUGGAUUUCCCCUGCCUCAGUCCUAUAAUCAACCACUUUUCCAAAGGAACCUUGGUUCCUUUUAUUGGAGAGAACAAGAGAACAAGAAAACAAGAUCUGGCUGCUAGGUGGGAUUCUCUAUCAUAAGAUAAUUUAGAAUCAAAAUAUGAUUCCAAAUUUAGAGAUAAGUGUAGGAAUUCAUGAAAGGACACGAUCACCCACUGUUACACAGGUCAGAAGUGGCAGAAAAAGUUCAAACCAGGGCAGAUCCUGCACUAUGAACCUCUCCACUAGUGUGAAUGCCUCAUUUAUUAGAAACAUGAAUUACUACUUGGCAGGAAAAGUGCGGAUGUGGCAGAUCAAUGUGAUUUCUGGCUGAUGGAAUGUCAGAUAAAGUAGACUCAUCUAUAUAAACAAACUUGGCAUUCAAUAAAUAUUUUUGGAUCGAUUUUGUUGAAUGAAUCAUCAUUAUCAUCAAAUAUUUCUUGGUCUCUAUGAUGUAUGUCUACUCUUCAGUUCACGUUAGUUCCUUUCUGGAGCAUGGUUGGGCAUAUGUAAAAUAAUAGCACAGAAAAAUGAAAAUAAUGGCAGGUUGACUUUCUGGAGCCCCAUGGUCUUUGGAUGGAAAUUUAAUGGCGCAGUAUACCCUCCCUGUUCCAUGUGCUGUAGUAAGCCAGGAAACCAAGGCGUGGGGCAUGAGCGGCUUGCCUUUGGUGAGCAGAGCAGAGAUUGCAUUGAGGUCUCCAGGCUGGAUCCUCAUCUGCCUUUGACCUUCACGAUCUGACCAAUUACAGCUCGGGGCAGGAUGACAGCAUCCCCAGAGACUGAGCCUGGAGGGGCAGGACCACAGGAGAAUUCUCUGCACCUUGUGGCCCAGGCCUGUGGGUCAUCUGAGAGACCCCGUCCACACUACUGGGGAAGAGACUUAGAGAGUCCAUUCCCUUCCUGUCCUUCCUGGGUUUAAUCCUCAACAUCAAAGCCACCUCUUUCUUCAGGAGUGGCUAAGAAUCCAAGACACGUGUAACUAGAGAAACGAAAACACGGUGACUUGACUGAACCAGACUGAUCCCGAGGUUGGAGUCAUGAUUUCUAAUCCCAGUUUUGCACUACCUGGUUGUUCACAUCAGGCAAAAUCUCAUCUCUCUGAGCUCUACUUCCCUGGCCUUAAAAUGAUAGGGUUGGACCUAUCCUGCUUUGAAAUUCUUGGAAGCUUCAAAUUCCUUUCCAGAAUUUCCCUUAAAAAGCCAUGGGUCAGCUGCAGUCUCAUUGGUGGAACCCUUGCGCCACCUAGUGGCCGACUCAGAGGCCUCGUUCUCCCUAAAAAUGCCUUCUGCUCACAGGUGCCACCUCGAUAGAAGCAAGAGAACAGAGCCAGGCCAGCCCUUCCAUUGCAGCCCUCCGCUGCCAGACCUGCGAGAAACACAUAGUUAAUUCAUGUCCUGGAAAGAUAUUUUGUGUGAACACACUGUCAACCUCCCGUGGCAAAGGCCUUGGUGUGGUGGGCAUGUGGUUACAAAGCCAGGCUCCCGAGGUCAGGAACACCCACAGAGGUGCCCUGCUAAAUGCAAUCCGGAGAUGUGUUUGGGUUGCUCUCUGCGUGCUGAUCUGCUACGCGCUACUCCCUAAUGCUUUGCGCUGCUUCCCAGUUAACGCUCAUUAAGCGCGCAUGCUGUGCUUCCACCCCGGGCCUUCGCCCCGCUGUCAGAACCCUCUCCGGACCUCAGAAGCAGAGAGAGGCGGGAAAGAUCCCUUGGGUCUCCUGCUCACCUGCAGAAUACUUCAUCGUUUGGAAGGUCCCUCUGGGUUUUUCCUUUCCUGACAUUCCCAUCUAAAUAAAGAUCACUUCUGAAGCUUGCCUGACCCUCAGCCGAAUCACCCGAGUCAUCUUGUGCUGUAGCGCCUUUAUCCCGCACUUCCUGGCAUUUGCCAAAUGCUGCCAUUAACCCCGGAACGCCAGCCUCUCCCGGAUGGAGCCUCACCCCUCUCCUACGACCGCUGUUUACCUGGCUGUGGAAGUUCCAUGUCUCUUGCUUUCCGUUUAUAUCCUAGUGAGGCAAGGGCAGAUGGCAUUAUUGGUGCCCAUCGUACAGGCAAGAAAACCGAGGUCAGAAACGGGUGAGGAGACUCUCCCCACAUAGCCAAACAGGGAGUGGUGGGGUUAGAAUAGAAUGAAGGAGUUCUGACUCCCUGUUCAGUUAUGUGGCCUUUGGGAACCUGUUUUCUAUGGUCUCAAGAAGAGGCCAUUAAUUUUGACCACAAACACUAUUGAAAACCAUUAAUUGCCUGUGCCUUAAAUAGCUGUGAUUUUUUUCCCUGCCAAGCAAGACAACGUAGUCAGUGGGUGGAGAGAGCCCUGGGCUGGGAACCAGAGAGCCUGGGUUCUUUUUUCACGUAGCCACCACCAAGCUGGGGGCGGGAAGUCACAACCUUUGAGGCUUCUGUUCCUCAUCUGUGAAACGAAGAGGCUGCAUUGAGGUUCUUCUCUUCCGGAACUCGAUGUGUAUAAGGAAAGGGCAUUUCUGAUGGGGGCCGUGUCUCAUAGCUCUAACUCUGGCUCUAUCCAAAUAAAACGAUUCAGUGAGGCUGUCUUUGCCUGGUAACUGCAUAUCAUUUACCUGGCCAGUCCAGAUUGUUCAGGUGGGUUUAUUGCUUUAUUGAUUUUUAAGCUUUUUCCUUUUUUUUUUUUUUUCCAGGUGACCUGGCUUGUUCUUGGUACAGAAUUCCAUUCCCAGGUUAUAAAUUCCUUUAGUGCAGCGAUAACAAAUAGUUUUCACCCUGAAUGCCCUUCAAAUCAGUGAGCAUUGGCUGUUGGGAGCUCUGUGUUAAGCUUUCUGAGUCCACGUUCUAAGGUUCCGUGGAGUGAUCGAUUAGCCAUGUCUGCCAUGGGCACGGGCUGGGGAAAUGUGGAGGGCAAGUGCAGUACUGACGAGAGCAGUGGAGAAUUCGAGAGGGGCAGGGAAAACCAUGCCAUGUUUAGAGGCACAGAGCUACCUAGAAGUGGAGCAGGGAUUGGAAUCCAGGCCUUCUCCCUUCAGAUUCAGCUGCCUCCCACUCCAGUCUCCCUCUUUAUUGGUUGUCAUGGCAAUCAAGUGCUUAGAAGAUGCUUCUUUACGAUGAUGAAAUUGAUGGCACUGUGGCGGCAGGCUCUCCACCUGCUCCCUGUGAGCAGUUGUAUAUGCCCCACAGAUGUUUCUCCCUUUCUGCCGGACAGACAGGCUUAACACUGGACAGGAGAUUGACCAGGUGACUUUAACAAAUGCUCCAAAGGCUCAUGUCCCCACUUAAAUAUGCCUUUCUCCUCCUGGCCAGUCCCAAGAGAGACUUCUAAAAGGUAUGUCUUGCACAACUGACAGGUGGCAGCAGGAGGAGAGCACUCUAGGCUGCAGGUGGGAGGACAGAGGGGAAGGGAAGUGAGGGGACAACAGGGCCGGCCUUCCUGGCCUCACAGAGGGGCAUCUAAAUGGACAAUGAUGGUUUGCGGCCUUCCGAAUGGCAAAGGCACAGUCCCAGAGAGGUGGGCAGUGGAGGGACACCCCACCCAGAUGGACCCGCUGUUCUGUAAAGGAACAUUCUGUGUUCCCUGCCUGGCAGCAAGCGCCUGGCCCAUCAGCUUUCCCUGACUGCACACCGACGGCCCUGACGGCUUUCUCACAGGGCACCCGGAGCUUCUGCCCCGAGCAGAUGCCUGGGCUUUGUUCCCACAGAAGAGGCUUGCCUGCGGCAGUCCAUCCGUCUCUCUCCUUCAUCUGGAGGCUGCACGGCCACCCUUAGCAUGUGCAGGCAGCCUCUCAGCAGGUGGGAGAGAGGAUGCUGCCUGGGUGCGGAAGGCAGCCUGGGCUCAGGGCAUGGGAGACUCGGGGGCACAACCAGGGCCCUGGAGCCUGAAUGCCCUUUUGUUUGCAAUGAAAUAAAUCCCCAUUUUAAAAAGCAUCCACGUUGCCAAAAUCCCAGGUAGACAGGGUGCAGCCGACAUGCUGGAGGAAUUCCUCAAGCUCUGUGGGCCAUGAGCCCUCUCCAGGGAAGGCCUGGGCCUGGCUCUGAGUGUCCGUGGGAUUCCCCCAAUCCAUGGGAUGGCCUCCCUUCUCAGGCAGGCAAUUCUGGAGCGAGGAAUAACCAAACCCACGUCUCAGAGCUGCCAGAGAAGGGGCUCUGGAUCCCGCCGUAGGGUGGGAAAGCCUGUCUUUUCUGGAGCAGUAUGCCUUCCACCUGCACCUCAGGGCAAGGCCUUUCCACCUUCUCCUCUCCGUACGCUCCUCCUUCAUUCACUCGCAGGCCCACCAGCUCCCAGGACUCUGAUCUGACAAAAUAACAGCCUUUACAGGCCCUGACGCUGGCCCACCAAGAAGUCCAAUAAUAAAAGAAACCCAGUUGCUACUCAUGCUCCAAGCCACCUUGUCUUUCUUCGGCGAGGCUAUUCCUUUCUUUGCUACCAUCAGCACACAUUCCUCAAGCAAGGAAACCCCAAGAGGCCACAAGUCUGCAACACAGGCGUGCAAUUAUUUCCAUACCACAAUUAUGGCCACAGGGUUAGAAACCCAACAUGAUUUGGGUCCUGAGGGACCUUAAAUCACCCUCAAAAGUGAACUUGUUAUCAAUCAGCUGAGACCUGGGACUAAGUUCCUGUCUUCAAUGAUUCCAUGGAGGACCCUGCAGAGGAGGGAGCACUUCAGUGUUCGGGCUAAGCUGAAUCCCAGUUACUCGAGCCAUCCUUGCCCUUGGGAUGGGACCAGGAAAUUUUUGUAAGCCUUCCUGAUCCAAGCUAUCUUGUUGGGUUUCUUUACACACUGGCUCCAUUUCAUGUUUAGACCUAUCAUGAAUUUCUCUGCAUUUUAUUGUAAGGUAGAUGCUGUUCAUGUGCACAAAUAAAUCCCCGCCCCCCUCAACAGGAUGGGUCCUCAGACAAACAGGUGAAUAAGCCUUUAUUAUCCACUAUGUUCCAGGCACUGUACCAGGCUCAGGGGCCCCCAUGAUCCUCAAGGGGCUUUCAGAUAUGAAAAAAAAAAAUCAGUACAAAAUGUUACAGGUGCCAUGUUAGAAUGAAGGGUUGGGUCCAGUGGGAGCACCAAGGAGGAGAUGUUAUUUCCUCUGUGGGGAAGGAGCUGGAGGGGAGAUGGUGGGAGAGCCACGCACCACCUGGAGUUGUUUUGGAAAUGAAAGCUACAAUGUGGAGCUAUUUCCUCUGCUCUUAGAUCCACUUGACAGGCUUCGGUCCUGGUGGUCACAGGCUGUCUGCCUGCCCACCCUGGUGGGGACCAGCAUCUGGGGCCUGGAUCGAGUUCUCCAAGCUCCCAGGAGAUGGCUAGGACAACAGAUUGUCAGUAUCCUUAUUUUCCACCGUGGGGGCCAUAUUUGCCCGUGAGAGGGUAUAGCUGCCUGGAGAGAGGCCACUCCUUCUCUGGCACAAUCUUGCCCAGGAAAUCCCAAAUAGAUGUUUUCUUCAAUAAGAGCUAUGCUUAUCUAAGAAACACUCCACGUUGGGGAGAAAAUAAAUAAAUAAAAGAAACAGCCCACCCAUAGCCAGAGGGCUGGACAUUGCCCAGGAAAUCCAGCUAGGUUUGUCCCGUGAGCCACAGACGUGAGUUUACAUGGAAUGGUUAAGGAAAAACACUUCUACUGCAGGCUUCGGGGCCUACCCCUCCACAUCGUGAUGACAGUUUGGGUUUUCCCCGCACCCAAAUCUAUGAUUCAGGGGUAUUAUAGCUCUUAAGGAUUGCCUCCAUUCAUGCUCCCUAUCCAGCAGAGUUACUGUCAUAGUUCCAUUAUAUAGCAUGUACAUUAAUAUGGAAAUACUGUCUCCAUCAUAGACAAUAAUUCACAGCUAAGGACCAAAGGCAACUUCUUCCCUACCUCGCCAAGCUCACUGCUCAGCUUGGAUGCAGAGAAACUAAAUUCUAACAGGAAUUAUCAGAAUCGCUAGGUCAUGCUAGAGUUCUCAGAGCAUGCUCCCCUUUUUUGCUAUUGAUUUUAUUUAAUUGACUUUUUCCUCUUGCUCGAUUUCUCUGCUCUAGGCAGGCUUUGGGAGACCACACAUCUGCUUAUCACAACCUCUGGAAGCGCUUAGAAUUUAUAAGCCUUGCACUCCAUGACCUUUGGAGGCGCCUCGAAACCAAUCUCCACUGAGGGCUCUGAGGUGCAUUACUGUGUCCAAUUCGCCCACUACCUGGAUCUUAAUGGGGUGUGUGAAACCAGGAGCCUGGCCGAGGCGGGGCCAGGCUGUGUCCCUCUCCCCAACCCUGGCUUCCUCCGGCCCUCCCCAGGCAGCAGCAGAAAGGAGGCAGCUCUUUGCCCAUGUGGCUCCCGCGCCUCUACCCGCCAGGCGCCAUCCACGGGCCAUGACAUGAGGUUGCUGCACCUCAGUGGCAGCCAUGUAGAGCCAAGAGCAAACUCACUUCUGCUUCUACUUAUGGAAAAGCACGAUCCGAGCUAUGCGAUGCCAUUAAGAAAUAAUUCCUGAGUUUAAAAGCACUUAACUGUCCAUUGCCACGGGUUACUUUUAAGAGAUGCUUUUUGUCCUUGAGGAUGUCGUAUUGGCCAGUAAUGAAUCCUGGAGGGAGAGUGGGAGGGAAAAGGAUGGAAGCACACUGGGAGGGGAGCUCCCACGGCCGUCACUUCAGGCUACAACUUUCCAAGCAAAGAGAAUGGUGAGCCAGCCUUUCGGAUCCCCUCCAGCCCAGCACAGUGACUGCUCUGUGCUUCAGGGCAGAAGGGCUCACUGGAGCACAGCUCAGCCUCAGCGGCCAGGCCUUCUCCGGCACUCUGCUGGCGGCUCUGACACCCAAGGCUUGUGCCAGAUAUCCCAUAGCUCCUGUGCCCAAUGCUCAGUUUCAGGCGGUGUCAUUGUAUAGAAUCAAUCUAUUCAGAAGAGUUGCCUCGUACUCAUGUGCGUUCCAUACGUAUUUACUUGGUACCCCCAUAUGGCAGACCCUGCUCUAGGUACCAAGAGUCCAGUCGGGAAACCCACAAAGUUGCUGUCAUCAUGGAGUUAAUGUUCUUGUAGAACGAGACAGACAAUAGAUGAACACACUGACACAUUAUAUCAUAUCUGGUGGUGAUUCACACCACGAAAAGCAUAAAGUAGGGUGGGGGGAUAUGAGCAGCUCUGGGGGCGCGGUCAAGGAGGGUCUAAUGAGGAGCCACCCUUUGAGCAGAGUCCUGAAUGGAGGUGGGGUGAGCCACGGGGCUGUUUGGGGCAGAGCCCAUCAGAGGGAACAGCCGAUGCUCAGUAGAAGGAAGAAUCUGGCAGAGAGCACUAUGGAGGCUAAAAACAGCCAUUAUUAAGUGCUUACUGUGUAUGUAUCAGGCACCUUGCAUACCUUAUGUGUUCCUUACGUACAUCGUCUCAUUUCAUGGACAUAACAGUCUGAGGACACAGGUACAAUUAUUCUCCCAUCUUACAUAUGAUGAACGGAGGCUGAAGGAUGACCUAGAUAGCCUCAGAUCACAGAGUCAGGAAACGGUAGCGCUGAGGCUUGAGCCUGCGUCCAGUCUGAGUCCGAACCCCCAGCUUCCUAACCUCCAAGACCUAGAGCUCGGUGCUGCCGGGGCGGCGCGCACCCCAGGCCCACGGGGCUUUAUAGGCAGGACGGAAUUCUUCUGAGGCUGCGUGCGCCUGGAAGAUGCUUUGCUCAUCUCGUAAACUGCUUUCUUUUGUGACUGUUUUCUCUCUUACUUGGAAACAUUGUCCAACCAAAGCUGCUUCUCAGGGCGGCUUCCUGAGUCUUUGCUGCUUCACUGUUUUACGAGGUAAAUGUGGUUGCUACCAGCCUGCCCAUGAAUGCCGCCCUGGUCCACAGCUUUAUUUCGGGGCUUCCCGGGGCUACCAAAAGUUACACAGCUCUUUCAAGAAUCCGGCAUCUGGGACUCACGUUUGUAAGGUUGCUUCAUUCUUAUGUUAGCCCUGAGGUCAGAAACGAGUAUCAAAGUGUAGCCAUCUUGGUGAAUGCUUCAUCCAUUGGAAGCACGUGGACGCAGUGUGGUAGAGUAGAAAGAACAGCAAUUUGGAAUCAGUCCGUUUGCAGUUUUGCAGCGUCAGACAAAAAAAAAAAAAAAAAAAAAAAAAAAA